CAAACGACUCUCGGCAACGGAUAUCUCGGCUCACGCAUCGAUGAARAACGCAGCAAAAUGCGAUACUUGGUGUGAAUUGCAGAAUCCCGUGACCAUCGAGUUUUUGAACGCAAGUUGCGCCCGAAGCCAUUUGGCCGAGGGCACGUCUGCCUGGGCGUCACGC
rnacentral:rRNA from 1 species